AUUGAACGCUGGCGGCAGGCUUAACACAUGCAAGUCGAGCGGGGUGAUGGUGCUUGCACUAUCACUUAGCGGCGGACGGGUGAGUAAUGCUUAGGAAUCCGCCUAUUAGUGGGGGACAACAUCUCGAAAGGGAUGCUAAUACCGCAUACGUCCUACGGGAGAAAGCAGGGGAUCACUUGUGACCUUGCGCUAAUAGAUGAGCCUAAGUCGGAUUAGCUAGUUGGUGGGGUAAAGGCCUACCAAGGCGACGAUCUGUAGCGGGUCUGAGAGGAUGAUCCGCCACACUGGGACUGAGACACGGCCCAGACUCCUACGGGAGGCAGCAGUGGGGAAUAUUGGACAAUGGGGGGAACCCUGAUGCAGCCAUGCCGCGUGUGUGAAGAAGGCCUUAUGGUUGUAGAGCACUUUAAGCGAGGAGGAGGCUCUUUUGGUUAAUACCCAAGAUGAGUGGACGUUACUCGCAGAAUAAGCACCGGCUAACUCUGUGCCAGCCGCCGCGGUAA
rnacentral:rRNA from 1 species